ACAAACUUGGUCAUUUAGAGGAAGUAAAAGUCGUAACAAGGUUUCCGUAGGUGAACCUGCGGAAGGAUCAUUAUAGAAUAUACUUUUCAAGUACGAUUCUUGAUUAUAUCCCGUUGACUACAUACUCUGUUGCUUCCAUGGCGCCAGCUAAAGUUCCUUUGGCCUCUGGACAGGAAGUUUUAUACUUUCUGCCUGGGGAGUGCCCAUGGGUCCAUGUGUAUAAAAAUCUCUUUGCUGAAGUUGUCGGAAUACAUUUCGAAUGAAAUAAAACUUUCAACAACGGAUCUCUAGGCUCUUGCAUCGAUGAAGAACGCAGC
rnacentral:misc_RNA from 1 species